rnacentral:lncRNA from 1 species
UAGACAACUUGUUCAAAACAUAUUUAGUAUGACAGUUAAUUGUUCUCGAAGCAAAAGUUUAAACGAACUUGUCAAAAACCUCUAACAGUCUAACGUUCUCUUUAUAGAAACGAUCUGAAUACAUCAUACUUAGAACACUAUUUUUAUUGACAUCGUUUAUAUAUUCACCCACCAUGCCAUAUAGCACCGUCCAUUGGUGCCUCCUACAGUUCAGCUAGAUAUAUUCAGCUCACUCACAGUAUUCUUUUUUGUUACUUUCUAGAGGUGUGCCUGAGACGAAGGUUUUAUGUAUACUCCUAUAUAUGUACUAAUAUAUGAAAACUGUUGUUUCUUAUUUGUGUUUGUAACUAUGUAUACUGUAUUAUUUAUUAUAUUUGACAAAUAAUAAUCUUCUUCUUCUUCUUCUUCUUCUUCUUCUUCUUCUUCUUCUUCUUCUUCUUCUUCUUCUUCUUCUUCUUCUUCUUCUUCUUCUUCUUCUACU